GAAUUAUUUUCUUGCAGGCGUUGCGACUCCUGGUUGGUACAGAGCCAGCAGUUCGUCCACCUUUUUACGUGUGCCGCCGUUGCUGCUUAUACUGCGUCUAACUUUGACGACAUGCAAUUUUGCGAGUUGAUACCACUCGCGUGUGAGCGCCGUAUCAUGGUUGGAAAUGAGCACCGGUAUCCGGUUACUGACCAGAUUCUCAGCGAUUUCCGCCAGAUGCGCUUGUUGCGUCAGGCUAAAACUAUUGGUGUGAUAC
rnacentral:misc_RNA from 1 species